rnacentral:rRNA from 1 species
GACGAACGCUGGCGGCGUGCUUAACACAUGCAAGUCGAACGGAAAGGCCUGCUUUCCCUUGUGGAUUGCGGGUACUCGAGUGGCGAACGGGUGAGUAACACGUGAGUGAUCUGCCCCCAACUUGGGUAUAAGCCUGGGAAACUGGGUCUAAUUCCCGAUAGGACUGCAGGGUGGUGCCUGUGGUGGAAAACGAUUUUCUAGUGGUUGGGGAUGAGCUCGCGGCCUAUCAGCUUGUUGGUGGGGUAAUGGCCUACCAAGGCGGCGACGGGUAGCCGGCCUGGGAGGGUGGACGGCCACAUUGGGACUGAGUUACGGCCCAGACUCCUACGGGAGGCAGCAGUGGGGAAUAUUGCACAAUGGGCGGAAGCCUGAUGCAGCGACGCCGCGUGGGGGAUGACGGCCUUCGGGUUGUAAACUCCUUUCGACCGCGAGGAAGCCACCUGGUUGGAAGGGUGGUGACGGUAGUGGUAGAAGAAGCACCGGCUAACUACGUG